AUGAACGCUGGCGGCGUGCCUAAUACAUGCAAGUCGAGCGAACAGACGAGGAGCUUGCUCCUUCGACGUUAGCGGCGGACGGGUGAGUAACACGUAGGUAACCUACCUAUAAGACUGGGAUAACUUCGGGAAACCGGAGCUAAUACCGGAUAAUAUUUCGAACCGCAUGGUUCGAUAGUGAAAGAUGGCUUUGCUAUCACUUAUAGAUGGACCUGCGCCGUAUUAGCUAGUUGGUAAGGUAACGGCUUACCAAGGCAACGAUACGUAGCCGACCUGAGAGGGUGAUCGGCCACACUGGAACUGAGACACGGUCCAGACUCCUACGGGAGGCAGCAGUAGGGAAUCUUCCGCAAUGGGCGAAAGCCUGACGGAGCAACGCCGCGUGAGUGAUGAAGGUCUUCGGAUCGUAAAACUCUGUUAUUAGGGAAGAACAAACGUGUAGGUAACUGUGCACGUCUUGACGGUACCUAAUCAGAAAGCCACGGCUAACUACGUG
rnacentral:rRNA from 1 species